rnacentral:rRNA from 1 species
GACGAACGCUGGCGGCGUGCUUAACACAUGCAAGUCGAACGGAAAGGCCCUGCUUUUGUGGGGUGCUCGAGUGGCGAACGGGUGAGUAACACGUGAGUAACCUGCCCUUGACUUUGGGAUAACUUCAGGAAACUGGGGCUAAUACCGGAUAGGAGCUCCUGCUGCAUGGUGGGGGUUGGAAAGUUUCGGCGGUUGGGUAUGGACUCGCGGCUUAUCAGCUUGUUGGUGGGGUAGUGGCUUACCAAGGCUUUGACGGGUAGCCGGCCUGAGAGGGUGACCGGCCACAUGGGGACUGGGAUACGGCCCAGACUCCUAGGGGAGGCAGCAGUGGGGAAUAUUGCACAAGGGGGGGAAGCCUGAUGCAGAAACGCCGGGUGGGGGAUGACGGCCUUGGGGUUGUAAACCGCUUUCGCCUGUGACGAAGGGGGAGUGACGGUAAUGGGUAAAGAAGCACCGGCUAACUACGU